UUUGGUGGAGGAACCAGACUGAAUGUUGACUUGGGUAACGCCCCUCCCACCCUGACGGUGCUGCCCCCCUCCAGAGAGGAGCUGCAGCAGGGGAGGGCCACGCUCAUGUGCCUGGCCAACAAGGGCUUCCCCUCAGACUGGAGGCUGGCCUGGAAGGUGGACGGCAGCAGCAGCAGCAGCAGCAGCAGCUGGGAGCAGAGCAGGAGCCCCGGGGUGCUGGAGAAGGACGGCCUCUACAGCUGGAGCAGCACCCUGAGGCUCACUGCAGACCAGUGGAGGAAGCUGGGCUCUGUCACCUGUGAGGCCACCCAGGGCUCCCAGGCUCUGCAGGCCGAGACACUGAGGAGAGACCAGUGUCCCCAGUAACUGACCUGACUCACUGGGACUUCUGCUACUGGUUUCACUCUGCAGCUGCUCU